AUGGAAGGAUGUAUUCAAAAUGAUUUAAUUCAAAGUGCAACAAGUGACAUUAACUAGCUUCUAGAAGUCAAAUUCCACAGCUGUGGAACAGUCAAAGGACAAACUAUGUGCUAUCUGACCAAGGGACCUUUCACUGUGUGUGCUCCGGAGAGAGAUCAUCGAGGCAGACAGAGGAGGUCAUUAUGCUGGGGGGGUUUCAUCCCUGGAUUAGCGGAGAAAGACUGAGAGAAAAUCAUUGUCAUUACACUCCUACCAGGUUUCUUCUGUUUACUCUCCUCUUGUCUUACACCACUCACUUCAACGCUGAAAGAUAAACCAGUCCAGCGGUAGCCUAUGUUUGUAUUCCCAGAGGCAUCAUGUCUGACAUACUAAGAAGUCCUUCAGACCUGAGAGAGCGGCAGUGUCUCUAUGUGUGUGUAGUUGUGUGUGCAUGUCAACAAAGUGGAAGUGAAGCUGAGGGAUGUUCAAGACUCAGUUGUUGUUUCAUAUGUGACUUUCAAUUGACAUCCAUACACAGUGUGCAUGUCUCAUGUAUAUAGAAGUUUGUGUCUAAAUACACAUGUAUGCAUGUACUGAACAUA